CAUCUGCCAGCACCAGCCUCCCUGCCAUACCAUCCUACACAGCUCCAUCCUGCCUUGGGUCCAGCCAUCAUCCAGAUCCCCUUUGAAAAGCACAGAUGGAAAACUCUGGGACAUGUCUUGUUUUCUCAGGUCAGAGGUUAAACAAAGGAAACACGGGACUGGCUGGUUGAAGGCCCGGUGCUGGGAGGGCGU